UGUCUCCUUCAGCUGAGGAGAAGGAAAGAAUUACAGGCAUUGUGCAGUUUAAUGUUAUGAAAAGAACAACAUGGUCAACCAUUCAACGGUUCCAUUGAUGGAUUUCAAAAAGUCUUUCUUCAUAAGGAAAGGGAAGGUUGGUGACUGGAGGAACCUUUUCACCGUGGGCGCAGGAUGAAAAGUUUGAUGCGGACUACAAGCAAAAAAUGAAGAAUCCUACACUGCAGUUUUGUACUGAAGUUUAGAGACUGUGCAUGUCCUGAACUGUGAUUCCUUUGAUAAUGGUGAUGUCAGAAGUAAAAUUUGAUUGACAAA